rfam:Candidate division WOR_1 bacterium DG_54_3 WOR1_52_54_1759, whole genome shotgun sequence.
GCCUGGGUGGUGGAAUUGGCAGACACACCAGCUUGAGGGGCUGGCGCCUUCAAAAGCGUAGGAGUUCGAAUCUCCUCCCAGGCA